GAAGAAGAAAAAGACUCGCAGGAGUUCACUUCCUGUAUUAAGAUUUUCAUGCUUCCACAAAUGUGUGCAUCUGUCAGACAGAGGUGAACAUGGCAGACGUCUCGGAGAGGACACUACAGGUCGCCGUUGUGGUUUCUUUCGCUGCCGGCUUCUUGGCGGGGUGGCAGGCGAACAGAAUGAGGAGAAGGUUUCUGGACUGGAGGAAAAAACGACUCCAGGAAAAGCUAUCAGAAACACAGAAGAAACUGGAUUUGGCUUGAAUGGUCUGCGGUAUGAGGCUCUUGGAUUCUGGAUGUGGAUCCUACACCAUGUUUGUGACCGAGGGAAGGAAAUCUGAAGAUGACCUACCUGUAUGCUGCACUACCUGUAUUUGUCUGCCACGCCUUUCAAUUUAAGACUCUAAUUCACUCUAAACCAGUUCCAUGAAAAUGGAAGCAACAGCAUUUUGUUGUUGUUCUUGUUGUUGUUCUGCUAACAAAAAGGGAGUGGUGGCCCUGUCCCCAGUGCUGUUCUCUGCCAACAUGUCUCCAUCUCUUUAUUUGUCAAAUCAGGUCAAAUAAAUUAUUUUUUUUCCUA